UACAGAGGGGGCAAGCGUUAUUCGGAAUUAUUGGGCGUAAAGGGCGCGUAGGCGGCUGUACAAGUCAAAGGUGAAAUCCCUCGGCUCAACUGAGGAACUGCCUUUGAAACUGUACGGCUUGAGGCCGGGAGGGGGUAGCGGAAUUCCCAGUGUAGCGGUGAAAUGCGUAGAUACUGGGAGGAACACCAGUGGCGAAGGCGGCUACCUGGACCGGUUCUGACGCUGAGGCGCGAAAGCGUGGGUAGAAACAGG
rnacentral:rRNA from 1 species